AACGCCCAACGCCAUACCGUCACAAUCCGCCCUUCACGAAUCACGAUCCAGGUCCAUUCAUUUGGUUGUCAGACACCUUUGCGGACUCACGUCGCACCCCGCUCCUCCAACCCACCUGGCUCCUUGGAUCUAUCAACAAACGAAGAUGCUGUACUCUGGUUUUCCAAUGGAUAGUUAUGGAUGCAGCAAGCAGGACUUUCUGAAGUUUGUAUCAAAAUGCACCCAGCAUACUUUUCUUCUCAAAAUCCCUGGUCCCCCAUCACCAC
rnacentral:misc_RNA from 1 species